rnacentral:misc_RNA from 1 species
GAUGAAGAACGCAGCGAAAUGCGAUAAGUAGUGUGAAUUGCAGAAUUCAGUGAGUCAUCGAAUCUUUGAACGCACAUUGCGCCCUGUGGUAUUCCGCAGGGCAUGCCUGUUCGAGCGUCAUUUCAACCCUCAAGCCCCGCUUGGUGUUGGGCCCCGCCCGCUGUGGCCGGCCCUAAAGACAGUGGCGGCGCCGCCUGGCCCUCAGCGUAGUACAUCUCUCGCUCCAGGGUCCGGUGGCCGCCUGCCAGAACCCCCCAACUCUGUGGUUGACCUCGGAUCAGGUAGGGAUACCCGCUGAACUUAAGCAUAUCAAUAAGCGGAGGA